UAGCCAUCUAUAAAGCAGGGAUUGUAAUAAACCUUUCUCAGCAUUGCAGUGAGGAGUCCAUCAGGACACUGGUACAACAAUAGCAGCUCAUGUUAGCAUUAGCUGCUGGGAUCCUGGUGCUACGCAUUAGUCUAAGCAUCCCUUGCAUUACCUUUCUCAAUCUACACCACAGCUUCAAGAGGGAGGGACUAAUUGCAUCACAGAAGAGGAAACUGAAGUACAAAAGUCAGGUAACCAGCUUUCCCAGACAGAAAGGGGCAAUGGAACCCACAAAGCCUGAGUCUCUAACCAUGAACCUCUCCUGCCUCGUGUGGCUCCCACUACCUUGGAAGUGAUGGCUAGGAUAACAAUGAUGAUUUAUGAACCAGAUAGAACAUCCAGAAACUUGGUUAUUGUACAGACAAAUCCUAAGUGACCCAGGCAGAUGGGUGUUCUAAGCAACAGUGCAGAAGCUGCUGUCAGAGCUGGCUGAGGGGCUCUGAGGUACAAGGCUCCAUCUCAGGGACCUUGCAUCAGAGAUGUCAUGAGAGGCUCGUUGGGCCCACCUUGAAGAUUCUUGCCUAGAAUCCCAGUCCUGGGCUCUACACAGCUGGCACUGGAGAAUUCUUGUCAGGUCUAAGAAGGGUAAGAUUGCAACAAGAGCAGGGCUCUUGGUGGUUCAAGAGGAAGUGGGGUGCAGGCUACUUUGGGGGAGGGCAGGGGGACCUGAGAGACACAGUGGAGCCUUGUCCUGCCUUUUUUUUUUUUUCUUUUUAAGGCUUCACUUUGGCAUAUGGAAGUUCCUAGCCUAGAGGUCAAAUCAGAGCUGCAGCUGCUGGCCUACGCUAUAGCCAGAGCAACGCCAGAUCUGAGCCACAUCUGCCACCUACACCACAGCUCAUGGCAACACUGGAUCCUUAACCCACUGAGUGAGGCCAGGAAUCGAAACCACAUCCUCAUGGACACUAUAUUGGGUUCUUAACCCGCUUAGCAACAAUAGGAACUCCCUUGCCUUGCCUUCUUGAGGCCCAGCUGGCAAUCCUUUUGUCUAUCCUAAAUCACCCUUCCAAAAAGCAGGCCAGGCUCCUCACCCUUCUGUGAUGCUCACUGGGGCCUGGGGCUUUCGCUGGCAGUGGGGGUCCCUGAGGUUGUUUGGCGUUGAGCUGCAGGAAUUGCUAGUAGCAGAUGGAGGCAGAGCCAUUUAAAACUGACCCUUAUAAGUGAGAGCAACACAAAGGGAGGGGGUCUUUCUAGUAGGCGUGGUGUAGGCCACGACCCAGGCCCAAAUCUGGGCAUGUGUGAUCCAAUGUGAUAAGAAUUCUGGUACAAGGAGAGCUGAGACAUUUGUUGGUAGAGGACAUUUGGAGUUUCCAACUAUAGUAAGCAGAGGUACAUUUUCCUCUAAACUAGUGACCCCCAUCUUCCUCAAGAUGCUGUGACAUCUUCCUCCAAAAUGCGUUCUCUCUCCUGAUGAGAAAUGGAGAAAACCAGGCCUGAGAGGUCAUUUCAUGACAACCGAAAAGUCUGUGGCUUCUCCCUAUGCCAGAGUCAGGAUGUGUAGACCCCAGCCUCAUCAGGUCUAUAAGAAAGACUAGAAACCAUGGCUCUGGGAGACACGGCUGUGGGCACCAGGGUGGGCACACCCCGUAGGCAGGCAGUUGUCUGUCACAGCCUACUACUGCCACCAAAACAAUCCAUGUCACUGAGAAUGGCAGCUGCACAGGAUUUCCAUAGUGGAAGCAGGAUGGGACAAGCACCUCAGGGUGACAGGCUGACUACUUCCCCCAGGACAACUGCAGAUUCAGUCUGCCUCCCCAGAUGGCUCCGCUCAGUCUGCAGAGAACUUGAUUCCUCUGCCUUUCUCUUUCUUGGGGAAAUUGCAGCUUUCAGAACCUCCUCAAGAGGGGAGAAAAGGCCAGCCCAGGCUUGAGAAUUGACCCUGGAGUGUGACCAGGAGAGAGUUCUUCAUGUUUACCUGUUUCUGUUCCGGUAGCUCCAGGCCACAGACCAUGGGUGCCCCGAUUGCUGAUGAAGAGCUGCUUGCUCCUCCAGAAGGUCCCCAGCCCCAGGUUUGAAGCACCACAGGACUCCUUCCUGUGGCUCUGAGAAGGGGGCGGGUGCCCUAACUACCUCUCCUCCCUACUAAAACGCCAGCUUCAUGAGGGCUGGGGUUUUUCUCUGUUUGGUUCACUGUUGAAUCCCUCAAACCUAGAAGAGUGCUUGGUUCAUAGUAGAAGCACAAUAAAUCAUCCUAGAUUGAGUGAAUAUGGAUAAAAACUGAGCUUCUUCAAGUAGAGUUAAUGGUUACAAAUCUUUAGACAUUAAACAGGUAAAUCUGAUAUACCUAAAUCAAAAGCUGUUAUAAAUGUGAGAAUGUGGUGAAAUAAGCAGAGGUAAAUGUUAAAUAUGGGAGAAUUAAAAUCCUCUUAAAGAAAUUGAUAGGUUGAGUAGACAAAACAUAAAUGAGGAUGUAGGUCAUCUGAAUACUGAAAAUUACAAGCCUAAUCUAAUAAAUAUGCCUAUGGAACAUUUAUAAAAAGGGAGCAUACACUAGGCCACAAAGAAAAUCUCAGUAAAUUCCAAGAAAUUAGGACAUAUUAUUUGAUACCGGUUUCUACUUUUCUUUGUGUAAGCUAGGAAAACCCUUAAACAAAGAAUACAAAUACAUACAAAAAACCCCCAAUAAUACACAUACACACAUAUGUAUAUAUACACACAUACAUAUAUAUACAUAUAUGUACAUGUAUGUGUACAUAAAUAUAUACACACCUAUAUAUGUCAACUGUCUGUGUGUGUGUGUAUAUAUAUAUAGCUAUAGAUGCAAAAUAUCAAGAAAUAAACUGCCAGGAAAUCAAAUCCAGGAAAAUAUUAAAAGAAUACCAUAGUCAAAUAGGUUUCUAUUCAAAAUGCAAAGAUAAUUGAUUGUAAGGAAAUUGUUAACAUAAUUUAUGAUGCUGACAGAUAAAAGGAUAAGAUUUUUUUUUUUUUUGUCUUUUUGCCUUUCCUAGUGCCACUCCCACGGCAUGUGGAGGCUCCCAGGCUAGGGGUCUAAUCAGAGCUGUAGCUGCCGGCCUACUCCAGAGCCACAGCAACACGGGAUCCAAGCCGCAUCUGCGACCUACACCACAGCUCACGGCAACGUUGGAUCCUUAACCCACCGAGCAAGACCAAGGAUCGAACCUGCAACCUCAUGGUUCGUAGCCGGAUUCGUUAACCACUGAGCCACGAUGAGAACUCCAAAAGGAUAAGAUUUUUAUUAACAUUUUGGUAGAUGCUGAAAACCCAUUUGACAAGAUUCACUAUCCACCCCUAAUUUAGAAAAUAACCCCUGAUGAUUUGGAAUUAAGGGAAAUUUCUUUCACUUUAUAAAAGGUAAUUAUCAGAAAUCAACAACAAGAAACUUAAAGCAAAACUGGAAAUAAUUAUACAUUAAUGCCAGGAACAAGACAAGCUUGACAGAUCUCAUUAAUACUAGUUAACAUUGUUCUGGAGAUCUACCAAUACAAUAAUAAAAGAAAAAGAAAGAAGGUACAUAUUCCAGAAAAGAACAUUGUAGUUAUCAUUACUUGCAAAUUUUGUUUAUCCAGAAAACCCAAUGCAAUUAACUAGGAAAAAAAUAAGAACUCGAGUCUUAUGUAUGUAUUCAAUAAAGACUCAAUAUCAUGUAUUAAAUACAUGAUACAUGAUAAAUAUGCAAAAUUCAUAGCUAUCUAUAAUGUCAUAGUAUCUUAUUAAAGAAUAUACUAUUUCCAGAGUUUCCGCCAUGGCUCAGCGGAAACAAAUCUGACUAGUAUCCGUGAGGACACAUUUUCAAUCCCUGGCCUCGUUCAGUGGGUUAAAGAUCCAGCAUUGCCGUGAGCUGUGGUGUGGGUCAUACACGAGGCUCCGAUCUGGCAUUUCUGUGGCUGUGGUGUAGGCCAGAGGCUACAGAUCCUCUUCAACCUCUAGCCUGGGAACCUCCAUAUGCCAAGGGUGCGGCCCUAAAAAAGCAAACAAAAAAAGAAUAUAAUGUUUCCAUUUAAAAGAGGCACAUUCAAUGCACACAUUCGUGUCUGUUUUCUCUGAAAAUCUGCUAUAAUGAUAGUAAAGGAAUAAAAAUAAGAAAAACCUGUAACGACAAAGAGGAUGGAAGAAGAAUCAAGAGUAGACAAGAAAUUGCAACAAAAAUUGGAAGGUGGUAGUGGGUGGAUGAAUGGUAACUGACUCAACAAAACUGAGAAAAUGGAAAUAUAAUUGGAAGCAGUGGGAUGGGGGGGAAUAAGCAUCAGUUCAACCUUGGUAAAUUCACAACCGGGAUCACAAGUACCUCUAAAGGCAAGGGUGCAGGGUAGACUAAAAAUGGGGGGACCAGUUGAAAGUUCUGUGAAGACAUUUAGAACGUACCCAUCCUCUCCUCACCUCCUGUAACUAGGCAACCCGACAACUGCCUGCACUGCAGAAGGGCAGUCUAUAUCCAGCGAGGUCUGCACAGCCAGACUGAAUGCUGGGGGAUUCGGGGACAAUUUCUGUAACAGACAGUGAGAUGACCAGGCCCCUUUCCCCUCUGGGGCCUGUAAAAUACUGGCUGCUGAGCUUCUAUUUCCCAAAUAUUUGGAGAAUGCCUUUCUCAGGAGCCCUCCAUGGCCACUGGAUUAACUGAAACCGAAAAUGCAGAGAUGCUCCAGUGAGAACUCCAGCUAACCGCCUUAUGCCCUUCAGCAAAAUCCACCAAUCACCAAGCCCCGCUCAGCAACAUAUAUGUAAAAAUUUUUGAAAAAGUUAAAAGGGAACUUUCCCUACUGGAUAACAAAAUAUAUUAUAAAACUACAAUAAUUAGAGUUUCUAUUGUAGCUCAGUGGUAACGAACCUGACUAGUACCAUGAGGAUGCUGGUUUGAUCCCUGGCCUCGCUCAGCAGGUUAAGGAUCCAGCGUUGCCGUGAGCUGUGAUGUAGGUUGCAGAUUCGCCUUGGAUCUGGCAUUGCUGUGGCUGUGGCAUAGGCUGGCAGCUAUAGCUCUGAUUCGACCCCUAGCCUGGUAACUUCCAUAUGCCAUGGGUACAGCC
rnacentral:lncRNA from 1 species